UACGUAGGGGGCAAGCGUUGUCCGGAUUUAUUGGGCGUAAAGAGCGUGUAGGCGGCCAGACAAGUCUGCUGUGAAAACUUGAGGCUCAACCUCGAGCUGUCGGUGGAAACUGUCUGGCUAGAGUCCGGAAGAGGAGAGUGGAAUUCCUGGUGUAGCGGUGAAAUGCGCAGAUAUCAGGAAGAACACCUAUGGCGAAGGCAGCUCUCUGGGACGGUACUGACGCUGAGACGCGAAAGCGUGGGGAGCGAACAGG
rnacentral:rRNA from 1 species